rnacentral:lncRNA from 1 species
CAGCUCAACUGGACCACUUUUUCAUAAUUAAUUAAUAAUAAUUUAUAACCCAAAUUAAAUUGGAUAUAAAUUAAAAUUAAUUAUAUUAUGAAUUAAUACAUAUAAUUUUCGACCGUCUUAGGCUGAAAUUUAGUUCGCUUCGAUACUUCAAAUUGCUUCUCAGUUUUGCGCUUCUAACAGUGUCUGCCGAGCCAUUUUUUGCCCUUUGUGCAAAUCUGUCAAAAAUAACCAAAAUUCAUCAAAAUUAAUUAUAAAAUACAACAUGUUCAUAUUUUAAAUGCACUUUAAUUAUUUUUUAAAAAUUAAUUAUUUUUUCGACAAGAAUUUUAUCGAAACUGUAUGAUUUUAAGUUAAAAAGAGUAUGUAAAAAUGUGUAAAUUUCCGUGUUUCCACGUCUCCACCUAAUUUUACAAGCUACUUGGCUUGCUAUGAGACCUUACUUUGGUCGAAUCUCCACUCGACCAUAUCCCAAACUCUUUGCUAUAUCGGCAAAUCCAUUCUUUACUUUUCAUAUUUCCUUCAUUAUACUUCCCUUUACUCGGGUUGCCUGUUAUCCUUUAUCUUAUUUGGUCGUAUGCCUUCCUCGGCGAACCUAAAUGAACCAGUUCUUGGUGGACUCUCCCUUCCUACCAUAGUCCUGAAGGACUUGUGAAAAUUUUCAUAACAUGCUGACCUUCAACUUGACUCGCCUCUUUGGAGAACCCGUUUUCAUUCCUCCUUAUUGUUCGCAGUUGGGGAUUACUUCUAGAAAUCUACCCCUCACUCCAGUCCUUGCUUAGAAUCUCAUCUAUCUCGUUUCCACCAUAUGAAGCUAUCCUUUCUACGGUGUACCCGCACUAGACUUUCCUCUCUUGGAUAGUAUCCUUAUCUUGGGAGUGAUCUUUCCAUCUCUUCCAUGAUAUUUGUUUUUCGAGUACAACUUCAUUGAGCUUUCCCUGGUGGCUUAUCUUCUCGGAUCUUUACUUGUGAUCCUUGGGCAUUUUCCCUUCUUACCUUUCCAUACUUAGGCCAGCUUCUGCAUGGCCUUUUUUUGCCUAAUUCUUGUCGGGUCUUCGCCCCUACAUUAUUGAAUUUCCUGUCUAUCCUUACCACUUUCCUCAUUUUUGCAGAUUCCUUAUGAUCUGUUUUCCAUACUUGUGUUUUUUUUCAACUUUUCUUCCACCUGCAUAGAUCUUUAUGAUUGGCGCAUAAGACUAUACUCCUCAUUUGAGGUCCUGGAGGACUUACUGCAUCUAUUCUAUGACGGGCUCUAAGUUUCCAUAGUCGAGCUAUGGUCUUAUACCCAUCUUCCUCAUUCUUUACAUCUCCUUAGACUUACCUCGUGUUUAUUGUCCUCUUCAUCAGAUUAAUCAUCACUCUGCCGGUCAACAUCGCCAACAUACGCCUCCCUCAGUUUUUUUCUUUGUUUCCGUGUUGGGUGGUUGACUCAUUUACCCAUAACUAAAAUUGAAACCUUUUAAUGUGAAUAAGAUUUCAGAUCCAAUGGUUUGCUCAUGAGCUUCUCUGAACUCUUUAGUACCAUCAAAUAGAGUCCUCUAAAAUCUAAAUCUAUGAUUUCCAUCUAACCACUAACGAUGCCCCAUAUAAGAGAAAUUAUUCCCAUUAUGUAACCACUUUGAACAUGUUUGCACAGCACAACAAGGACAAGCAUUGUAACACCACUUACCCGAGACCGUUGCCGGAGUCGAGCACGAGGCGUUACUUGACUUAACUUACUAGAUCGAAGCAUAAAAAUUUACUUUUAAAAAUUAAUUCGCUCAUGUUCAAUUAAUAUGUCCCUAAAAAUAGCCCUUGAUACCCUAAAACAUGUAACAAAAAUAGUUUGGGUCUAAAUCGGGAACAUUAAAAAUAUUCCGAAUACUUAAGCAAAUCAAAAUAAUUUAUUUCACUAUUCACAAUAAAACUGUCCACUCGUGUAAUAGUCACUAAUUUAAUUAUAACUCGAGUUAAAAAACUCAAAAUUUAGAUCCGUAAAAUUUCCUUGAAACCAGAAUCAUAUAUAUUCUUAUCAUAAAAUUUACAGAAUUUUUGGAUUAGCCAAAUAGUACAGUUUAUUCGUUAAAGUCUCCCCUGUUUCACUAUUCGAUGGUUCUGAACUCUAUUCACUAAAAAUCAAUUAUCUCAUUGUACGGGCUUAAUAUGGUACUUUUGCUUGUUUAUAUUGAAAAUAUACUCAUUAAGGAAUCUAGAAAUAUAAAUUAUGACUCAUAAUUCUUUCUAUACAAUUUUUAAUGAUUUUCUAAAGUCAGAACAGGGGACUUCAAAAACCAUUCUGACCCUGUCUCACUAAAAUUCAAAUAUUACAAAAUAUAAAAUUUCUUUGCCUACAUCAUUUCUUUCAUGUAAAAAUAGACUUGAUAAGCUUUAAUUCUAUAUCUCAUUCACUCUCUAAUUCCAUUUUUACUAUCCUUGGUGAUUUUUCAAAAUCACGUCAAUGUUGCUGUCCAAAAACUGUUCCAUUGCAAAUUUUUACUCUUUUUAUAAUUUCUUUGUAUUAACUAUUAUUUAGGCAUACAUAACACCAAAACAUGUUCUUAAAUAGCCAUUUUAAUAGCUAAUCAUUAUCUAGUACUUACGUGCUAUUCAUUAGCCAUAUCAUAAGGGCACACACACAAAAUGACUAAGUCCCUAUACAUGCCAUAACUUAAAAUGUUUUUAAUCACAAAAUACCGAGAUAAUCUAUUGAUAGUGUGAAACGAUCUCCAACGUCCUUACGAUCCCCGAAUUGGCUUGGUGAUUCUAUAAAAAGAAGGAAAAUAAAGGGAGUAAGCGUAAAGCUUAGUAAGUUUACAAGCAAAUAAAUAACAACAUUUAUCAUAAAUAAUUAUACUUAUAAAUUAUCAUCAAGUAUCAUGGUUGUUGCUUCUUCUUUACUUGCUCUCUUACUUGCUUACUUAAAUAACUCAUGAAUAUAACUUACUCCUCCCUUGCUUAAAUUUAUUUUUCUCAACUGAUAAUUGAGAUAUUCUUAACCCUUAUAACUCACCUGAGUCUAUUUAUUAUGCUUUUACCUGAACUUUCAUGUAACAUAGUGUCUUUACUAGCCCGUUGAACCACUUGGAAUACUAAGGAUACUCGGGUCUCCUGUCUGAUAUUAACAUGCCAAAGCCAUGUUCCAGACAUGGUCUUACAUGGGAUGUUUCCUGUACUGCAAAUGCCAUAUCUCAGAUAUGGCCUUACAUGAGAGUUUUCAUAUCGGUGCCCAUGCCAUGUCCCAGACAUGGUCUUACGGGGGACCUCUCAUCUCGGUGCCAACGCCAUGUCCUAGACAUGGUCUUACAUGGGACCUCUCAUAACCUCAAUAAUGCCAAUGCCAUGUCCCAGACAUGGUCUUACAUGGGAUCUCAUUCCCUUAAUGUCAUGACAUUUGUAUUCGAUACAUUCCUAAUAUUUCAAUAGGACUUUUUAACACUGAUUCUCUAUCAUCUCAUACUUGAGUCAACAUUAAAUAAUUUCUUGAAAUAAGUACAUAAUUGCUGGAAAAUAACAACAUUAAUAAUAAUUAUUAAAAUAUUUCAUUUAUUUACCGUAAACUUACCUCGGUACAAAAUACGAUCAAAUCUAACAACUUAGUCCUUAACCUUUUUCUUUCCCCGAUCUAACUUUGGAUUUCGUUCCUCUUGAUCUAAAAUAGAAAAUUUAGCUUAUUUAAUACUCACAUUCAUCAAAACAGUCAUUGACUCAAACUUUGAAAAAAUUAUGAUUUUGCCCCUAAACUUUUGCAUAUUUACACUUUUGCCCCAAAGCUCAAAAAUUAAACUUCAUCCCUUAUUCUUAUGUUUUAUGACAUGCUGAACAUCUUUCCCUUCUAUGCCAGCAUCAAAUUCCCACUCUAACAUUUACUAAUAAACAUUAGGUAUUUUUACCGAUUAUGUCGUUUUACUCGUUUUCACUUAAAAUCGCCUAGCAAAAGUUGUUUAACAUAACUUAAAACUUUAUAUUCUACCAUUAAACACCAAAAUAAACACAUUUCACCUAUGAGUAUUUUUCCAAAUAUGAACCCUAACAUGAAUUAAUGGUAAAAUAAGCUAAAUCGAGCUACGAUGACUCCAAAAACGUAAAAAACAUUAAAAACGGGGCUCGGAUGCACUUACUAUGAGCUUGAGAAAAAGAAGAAACCCUAGAUAUAGAGUCCCUUUAGGUUUCGACCCUUAUGAAGAAGAUGAGCACAUUUUGCCAUCUUUUUCCCUUUUAAUUCUUUUUAUCACCAAAUGACUAAAAUACCCUUCAUUAAAACUUUAGUUAUUUUUAUCUAUGCAUGCCCACUUUUUGUCCAUAAAAAUAUAAUGGUCUAAUUACCGUUUAAGAACCUCUACUUCAAUUAUGCACUUCAAUUAAAUCUUGUAUCAUCUAAAGCUCAUAUUUACCAACUUUUGCAAUUAAACCCUAAUAUGCAAUUCAGACAUGCAAUCGCUGAAAUUUCUUAUCGGUAUUCUAACACAUGCAUCCAAUCAAUCGGUAAAUCAUAAAAAUUAAUCACAAUAAGCUUUUCUAUCUCAAAUUUGUGGUUUCGCAACCACUGUUCCAUUUAGGCCCUAUUUUAGGAUGUUAUAAGCAUAACGUCCUUUGCUACUCCAAUAAGAUAAAUUGACAGAAGUCGAGAAAUCAUUAAUAGUCCACAACAAAUCUACAUGUAAAUAAAAGUUCUCCUUUCUCAAGACAUCAUAUGUUUCAACACCUGCCCAUAACUGUUUCAAAUUUUUAAUAAGUGUCUGCAUAUAAAUGUCAAUAUCAUUCCCAGGACCUUGCUCUCUAGGGAUAAUCAUAGAUAAGAUAAAAGAAGAUUGUUUCAUGAAAAUCCAUAGAGGAAAAUUGUAAAGAAAAAGCAAUACAGGCCAAGUACUGUACGAAGUACUCAUGAUUUUAAAAUGAUUAAAUCUAUCAUAUGCUAAACUAAGCCUCACAUUCCGAGGAUUGCUUGUAAAGCUUGGAAAUUUACUGUCAAAUGAUUUCCAAGCUAAAGAAUCCGCAAGAUACCUUAAUAACCCAUCACCGGUUCGUUCAUCGUGAUGCCACCUCAUAGACUCAGCUGUUUUUGACGACAUGAAAAACCUUUGAAGCCUUGGUAUUGGUGGAAAAUAUUGCAAAAUCUUUACUGGCUUCUUUCUUGAUUGCGACUCACCUUCUUCCUCAUUCAUAUCUUCUGCAUUUCUAUUCAUCCAACGAGAUUUACUGCAAACAUGAUAAGAUUGUUGGUUUUUCUGAUACCUCAAUACAACAUGCAGUCAUUUGGGCGACUAUGAAUUUUGUUUUACCCAAGGCCUAAAUCCUUUAUCAGUUUCUUCAUAUCUUUGCAUGAAUGAGAGAAUUUUGGAAACAGAAUCAUAACUCUCAAAAAUUCUAACAACAACGUAAAAGAGUUUUUGGUCCACCCUCCCAAACAUUUUAAGUGAAAAAGACAAAUGCAGAAGGACAAUUUUGAAAAUUUCAAUCUUUCAUAAAGUUCUUCAUUCAUUUCAUUAAGUAGCUUGUAGAACUUCGUCGCUUUUCCAUUUGGCUCUUGAUUAGGUACACUUCUUCUCGUUUUGGUAAAAGCAUUUCCACCAAUAUCAUAAUCAUCGGAUGUAAUAAUUUCAGGUGGAAACAACUGCAAACCAUGACUAUGCAUAUUAAAUGCAUCUCGCAACAUACCUUCGAUGUCAUCUUCUCUAACAGACUAAUGAUGAGCAUUAUGAGGAUAUGUCAGAUUAAUCAUUGAAGUGGUUCUACGAGGUUUACACUCUCUAUGGAAAAUUCAUUUUUUAUACCCUCAAAUAAAGCCAUCAACAAUUAGAUGUUCAUAGACAACUUCAUGAAUAUGCCAAUUGAUUUUGCCACACUUCUUACACGGGCAAAGAAUCAUAUUCUCUUGGUUUGCAUUUUGAAAUGAAAAAUUUAGAAAAUUUUGUUUUCCAUUUCGAUAGUCGUUGCUUACCCUUGACAAAUCCAUCUAACUCUUAUCUAUUUCGUAGUUCUUGAAGUGUAAAGUUGACAAUAAAUUAUGGUUACUUAAGUGUUCUAAAUAGAUUUAAAUCAUGUCAUUGUACUAAAAUAAAUAAUAUAUAUCAAGUAUCUAAUUUGGUUGUUUUCUAAUUCUCUAUUUCUAAUUAAAACAUAUAACUAAUAAAAUUACCACAACUAGAUCAAAUAAACAAGCAAUUUCAAAUUUUAAUUGAAUUAAAUUAAAACAUGUAAGUAAUAAGAGAUACUUACAAAUAAAAUUAAAGAGAGCUUAAAAUGGAGUUAUUUGAUUAGGCAAUUCAAAUGAGCCUAUCGAAUACUUCUUUU